UGUGAAGCCUUUUCUGAAGAUAUGC
rnacentral:piRNA from 1 species